rnacentral:rRNA from 1 species
GCAGUCGAGCGGUAAGGCCUUUCGGGGUACACGAGCGGCGAACGGGUGAGUAACACGUGGGUGAUCUGCCCUGCACUUCGGGAUAAGCCUGGGAAACUGGGUCUAAUACCGGAUAUGACCUCAGGUUGCAUGACUUGGGGUGGAAAGAUUUAUCGGUGCAGGAUGGGCCCGCGGCCUAUCAGCUUGUUGGUGGGGUAAUGGCCUACCAAGGCGACGACGGGUAGCCGACCUGAGAGGGUGACCGGCCACACUGGGACUGAGACACGGCCCAGACUCCUACGGGAGGCAGCAGUGGGGAAUAUUGCACAAUGGGCGAAAGCCUGAUGCAGCGACGCCGCGUGAGGGAUGACGGCCUUCGGGUUGUAAACCUCUUUCAGCAGGGACGAAGCGCAAGUGACGGUACCUGCAGAAGAAGCACCGGCUAACUACGUGCCAGCAGCCGCGGUAAUACGUAGGGUGCAAGCGUUGUCCGGAAUUACUGGGCGUAAAGAGUUCGUAGGCGGUUUGUCGCGUCGUUUGUGAAAACCAGCAGCUCAACUGCUGGCUUGCAGGCGAUACGGGCAGACUUGAGUACUGCAGGGGAGACUGGAAUUCCUGGUGUAGCGGUGAAAUGCGCAGAUAUCAGGAGGAACACCGGUGGCGAAGGCGGGUCUCUGGGCAGUAACUGACGCUGAGGAACGAAAGCGUGGGUAGCGAACAGGAUUAGAUACCCU